rnacentral:lncRNA from 1 species
GUUGGCAUUAAACCCUCAGUAAGUGUAAAGUGUAGAGAACUGUCUUCCUAAAAGCUGCUGCUACUGGGUCAUAACUGCUUAAAAUAAAGCUGCUGCAUACAAACCCCCUGGCUCUGGUGUCUCUUGGACAAAGACUGUGAGUAUUGCUCAGUGGGUGUGAACUGUACUCUUCCCAUCUAUUCCUCGAUGGAAUUCCACUGUGCCCUCGGGGAUUCAGGAGGUGCAGUCAGUGCUACAGAAAGGAUCACAGCGUUUCUGGGGAGCUCAGAGCUCUUCCAGUGCCGUGUCCAGCUCCCUUUGGAAGAGGCUGGGGAGCCCAGUGCCCUCAGACUGGCCCGGAAAUGGACCAGGUGCCUGUGGGACUCAGAGAUGAAAAGCUCUGCUCCUGGCUUCUCAUCCUUCUGUCUUCAAGACCAGAAGUGGAAUCUGCUCUCAUGAUUGUGCUGGGAGGCCGUGGUGAAAGGGGGAAUUAAAGGCAGAUUUCCC